AGCGUUUGCGUUCGUAUGUGAGGAGGGCGAGAGAGAGGCCGCGACGGCUCUGGAAGCGGCGGAUGGAUCUGUGAGGAGAUGAUGAACCAAGCGAUCUCUGAUAUCCGUGAUGCAUUCCACGAUAGUUUUCAAUCUGAGAUCCGCAAUCCGUUGCUCGAGCUGUGCGCCCUCCUCUCCUCUCCUCGGCCUGGUGAUGGAACUUUUGAGUAUUCUCUCUGAAGGCCGCUCCUUGUUCGCCUAUUUCUCCCCUAUGAGUUGUCGAGCUCCGGUCAUGUUUCUGAUGCCUGGAAACCCUAGUUUUUUCUUCUAUUUUGCUAUCUCGUUUUCUCGUAUCUUGCUUAUUGCUCUGUUUUUGUGGUUCGAACUAGGGAUUGCAUUAUGUUGGAGAUUAAUUUGAACCUUCUUUUGGUCUUUGUUGUCUGAAAAACCUAGUUAGUUACUUGCAGAGUCUAGAAGUGACUCCGAGAUUGUAAUCGGUCGUCACUACCCCAAAUUUUGUGUUAUUUCUUGGAUUUUUCCCCAUUUUGUACGGUUCUCUUCUUAUUGUUGGAUUUAAAGUUCUAUUUGUUUGUAUUAUUCUUAAUGUUUCAGAGUUUUGGUGGCUUUAUACCGCCUCUUUUGACAGCUAUACGAUAUGUAGAUUCUAUUCUUAAUGUUUGAAAGUAUUGUUGGCUUUGAUUUUGAUACUCUGUGCUUUCGUUUGGGUUUAAAAGUCCAAGUUCUUUACUGAGAUUUAAAUGAGAAAUCAAAGUUCGUGAAACAAUAAAUGGAUUUUGCUAGACAUCAUGGAAAAAGCUGCUGUACAGAUUCAAUUUUUCUUGCUUUACUUUCCAUGAAGUGCCUAACAAAUGGUGUAAGUAUCUUCAGAUGUCCCUAUAUGAGACUUAGUGAAACACAAGUGGAUAUGGAAUACUUUUGUAGGGAGCUGCAAAUUUGACUUGGGACUUCGCAUGCCUUAUGAUUUGGAAAGUUAUGGCAUAUGCUGUUUCUGCUACUAAUACCACUAGCUACUGCUGUAUUAUUUUGACCAAAACAUGGUUAUCCAACAGUUCAAGAAUUUUUAUGUCUCAAGUAUCUGUUAAUUUUAAUAUAAAUAACUUCUUUGUUUUAAUGUCACCAGAAGACCAUAAUCUGUACAUAUGCUCACUAUUCUAUGUUAAUCCUGUCCUUAAGAAUAUAGAUAUGUCAUUCCUUCUGAUAAAGAAUUCAUUUUUAGUUGUGCUUUCAUAUGUAUUGGGGUCAAACUUUGUAAAGCUGUGCCUAUGAAAUGCGAAGCCCAAGAUUCGGUGAUUUUUAGAAUUGUGAUGCUACUCAGCACUUUUUUUUUCGGUUAUAUUGAUGCCUCUAUAGCAGACACUUGCUUUCAGUGGCAUAUGGUAGCACCAGCGCCCAUGGACAUGCAAGUUUAUAACUUUCUAGGUGCCAGAGAUUUUGUGAAUAUGGUCGUGAUGGUUGGAUUUGAGUACCUUCUGGUCAGUGACAUUGAUGUAUGUGGUUCUAUUUGCUUAUGACAUAUCUAGUAUAUAGUUCUAUUUGUGUUGUUUGACUGAUCUUGCAAAGCUACUUUCAUCCUGUGUGGAAGUAGUAACAUUUUUAGUUUAUAGUAAUCUCAAGAUCAGUGCAGGUUUUUCAACUUGGCGUAUAUGUUCUUCAUUAGUUCUUAUACUUCCUUUUUGUUUACACUUUUUUUUUCUUGUUUAAGAUUUUGUUGAUUUACCAGCGAAAAGCUUGCCCGAGUUCAUUCAUCAACAACUCCUUUAUAUUACUUAACUUUUGAAGUGCCUAGCCUUAAUAUUAGAGAUGCACCCAAUUUAUGAUUCAUACCUUUGAGCAUGAUAUAUAGCUCAUUUAGAUGCUAUUCAACUAAUGCAACAUGGUGAUCAGGUGUGGUGCACCUGUUGAUUUUUCAUGGCUGCAACAUGCUAUGACUUGAGAAAAAGGAAAACUAGGAAUCUAUGUGCUUACAAGUGAAAUGUGAUGCAAAUUGCUAUACAACCUUUCUUUGUUUUUUACUCAGUCGCAACUUGAUGCAUAAGACCUUGAGCAAUAGACCUGUAUAACUCAAUUUUAAGAAUGAUAUUUUCAAUUGUAAGAAAUCAUACAUCAAGAAAAUGGUGGGACUUUCAACCAUGGUCCCUCUUGUAAGGACAGUGCAGUAGUAGUUGGCUGAAUCCAUUGAGAGUCAAGCCGCCAUCGGAUAUCAGACCAUAUAGAUUGAUUUUGGCAAUAUUUCUCUCUUUUAUAUUUGGUGAUACUGGAUUGGGCCAAGCAGAUUUCCAAAACAAGGUUUAAAACCUUGAUUUGAAAUGGUUCUGUAAGAUAGAAGUUUGUGUUGUUUGCAUUGCAGAAAAUGCCCCGGCAAUAUCCUCCUGCAUCUCAUUGUGUCUAGUAGGCCCGAUCAUAUGUUUUGAAUAGCUCAUAUUUUAUGGCACUUGAUAUGAUGUCUGUAAUGGAUGGUUAAAUCGAGGAUAACCAGGAAAAGUAUGUCUAAAAGUCAACACGGUGGGGCUGAUCCAGGAAAAGCAAACGAUAAGUUUUGUAUUCUGUUGUAGCUGUGAAAAGUGGAUGCGGCUGAGACCAAUUAGGUUGGCGUUGCUGUGCCGAUUGCAGUCGACAUCAAGAGGGAGUAGCAUCUACCAGAAAUCUUUGUCUCUAUUGGGCAAAGAUGGAUUCACAGCGUGCCUUUGUUCCCCUACAUGCAUUACAGGACUGCAGGAGAUGAUGGAGACGACUCGAGGCAGGCCGUGCUUCUGCCGAGCCCGCAAAGGGGCACCGUCGCCUCCAUUUCAGAAAUCGUGUUCUUGCUCAACUGUUUCAUUUGUCCUUCCAAUUGGGUAUAUGAUCUGUAAAUGAUGGCUAUCUGUGACCAAGCAGUUGCCAUAAUUGCUCUAAUCAUGGAGCUCAAGACAAUCGCGUCGUGGAAUCCACUUCCAAAUAAUUCGACAAGAGAAUUUACAUCAGGUCCGGAGGAACUCUCAGAUCAAAUUUGGCAGCGGCCAACACCCGACCCAUGCGACAAAUCACCUGUCAUCCCGGUACGAGACAAGCACUCCGCUGCGCCAACCACAAUAAAUGCAGGGAGACCGAGAUGAGAAAAGACAGAGAGAGAGAGAGAGAGGAAUCUCAUCGUCGCGGACGGUGACAACAUGAUAUGAGAGGAGGUGGGGAGGUCAGAGGGGGCACUGUCCCUCCCCACGUGUCUGGCGUCGUACGGGUCUGAUCGGAGAUGUACGCCCGCCUCCCGGUGGCUUUGAUGGGCGCGCAGCAGCGGUGGCGAAGCCUGUACGUAGCAUACGGUGUACACCUCCGCUUGAUGCACACCACCUGUUCGCUCCGUGACCGCGCAGAAACCGGCACCAAUCGAUGCCCCGUUACUUCCCACCAGAUGGGUUGCUGCGGCGGCUGACCUUUUCCUGAGGAGUUGGAGGUCUCAGUGCCCGCACGUUUCCUCAUCAUGAUAACCUGCAGAUCUCCAUAUCAGUUCAUAGCUCGUC